rnacentral:misc_RNA from 1 species
GAAAUGCGAUAAUUAAUGUGAAUUGCAGAAUUCAGUGAAUCAUCGAGUCUUUGAACGCACAUUGCGCCCCCUGGUAUUCCGGGGGGCAUGCCUGUCCGAGCGUCAUUGCUGCCCUCAAGCACGGCUUGUGUUUGGGCUUCCGUCCCUGGCAACGGGGACGGGCCCAAAAGGCAGUGGCGGCACCAUGUCUGGUCCUCGAGCGUAUGGGGCUUUGUCACCCGCUCCCGUAGGUCCAGCUGGCAGCUAGCCUCGCAACCAAUCUUUUUAACCAGGUUGACCUCGGAUCAGGUAGGGAUACCCGCUGAACUUAAGC